rnacentral:lncRNA from 1 species
GCAAAGUCUGAAAUGGAUGUUACAUGAAUCAUUUUAAGAGCUGCAUACAACUAUGAACAUUUCUGAAACCCUUUUCUCAGUAAAGUAGAUCAAGAUGGAUGAAUCUGCCUUGUUGGAUCUUUUGGAGUGUCCUGUGUGUCUAGAACGCCUGGAUGCUUCUGCAAAAGUCUUGCCUUGCCAGCACACGUUUUGCAAACGGUGUUUGCUGGGGAUAGUAGGUUCCCGGAAUGAACUCAGAUGUCCCGAGUGCAGGACUCUUGUUGGCUCUGGUGUUGAGGAGCUUCCCAGUAACAUCCUGCUGGUCAGACUUCUGGAUGGCAUCAAGCAGAGGCCUUGGAAACCUAGCCCUAGUGGGGGCAGUGGGACCAACUGCACAAACGCAUUAAGGGCUCAGGGCAGCACUGUGGCUAAUUGUAGCGCAAAAGAUCU